CACGUAGGGCGCAAGCGUUGUCCGGAAUUAUUGGGCGUAAAGAGCUCGUAGGUGGUUUGUUACGUCUGCUGUGAAAACCUAGGGCUUAACCCUGGGCUUGCAGUGGAUACGGGCAGACUAGAGGUAGGUAGGGGAGAAUGGAAUUCCUGGUGUAGCGGUGAAAUGCGCAGAUAUCAGGAGGAACACCAAUGGCGAAGGCAGCUCGCUGGGACGGUACUGACGCUGAGACGCGAAAGCGUGGGGAGCAAACAGG
rnacentral:rRNA from 1 species